GACGAACGCUGGCGGCGUGGAUUAGGCAUGCAAGUCGAACGGUAUCAUCCUUUCGGGGGUGAGAGAGUGGCGAACUGGUGAGUAACACGUAGGUUAUCUACCCUCAAGACGGGGACAACCCAGGGAAACUUGGGCUAAUACCGGAUGUGAGCAACUUUUUAGUUGUUUGAAAGGUGGCGUAAGCUGUCGCUUAGGGAUGAGCCUGCGGUCUAUUAGUUAGUUGGUGAGGUAAGAGCUCACCAAGGCGAUGAUAGAUAGGCGGCCUUAACGGGUGGUCGCCCACACUGGGAUUGAGAUACGGCCCAGACUCCUACGGGAGGCAGCAGUCGAGAAUAGUCUACAAUGGCCGGAAGGCUGAUAGUGCGACGCCGCGUGAACGAGGGAGCCCUUCGGGGUGUAGAGUUCUUUUCUAUACGAGCAGUGCUAUAUAUAUGGAUAGUAUAUAUAGAGGGAUAGUAGUAUAGGAAUAAGCAACGGCUAACUCUGUGCCAGCAGCCG
rnacentral:rRNA from 1 species